GAAUGGAGAUUCGUAGAAGUGGGUAUUUAGCCAUCAAAGGAGAAGUGCCAAAUACACCACACCAUUUAUGCGAGAUAGGACUAAAGCAGGAAAAUUCGAGGGGGAGUUGCAUGAGAGCAACCUCUUGAAAUAGGGAAGGUGUCCUUUCUCUUUCUCCUUUGUGCCAUAUCCAUAUAAUCAUGCGAAGGAGGAUGGGACCUGGACAGAAAAAAACGAUCAUGUUGCCGGAUGAUAUGAGCAGGCGUUUCAGCCACCACUCCACUGCAUAUGCCUUCCUCUCCUAUUGAAAGCCUUUCCGUAUUUCCUGGAUUUCUGGAAGUGGCAUAUACUAGACCAUCUCAUAUGCCAUUCCCAUCUCUUCCGAAGGGCAUGGAGUCUGCAAUUUACAGAAUCAUGCACAUGAACCACUCCAACAGCAAAGAAGCCCCAUGUGGGCAUCAUCUAUAAAUUGAACCAAAGAAGUAACCAUGUAAUCAGUUUGUGAAAUGACCAACCCAUUUCAAGAACUAAAAUAAAAUUU